rnacentral:lncRNA from 1 species
AUUUACAUAUAUUUCAACAAAAGCAUGGUUUUAUUUGUGAACAUGUUUCAAAAAGUAUGAUAAAAAAAAGUCCAAACUCAGAACUCUAAACCUUAAACAGAAAUGAAACCAAAGAAACAUGCUACUCUAAUGGCUAAAAGCCUUUGACUACUUAAUCGUAAGCAAAAAAAAACAUUGACAAAUCAACUACCGAUUGACACGCUGAAUACACAGUUUCAUCGCAAUUGGUUCUGACACUCCAAUAUUAAUCUGACUGGACCACACAAGGAUCCCAAACAGUAAACAAAUUCACAAAAAAGGAUAAAAAAGAAGAAAUUAGCCAGAUGCACAUGAAGUGAUCAGUAACAACUUAACAAACUGCAUUAAAAUAAAGAGGAAAUAACAGACCUGUUGAUAAAGAAUUACUUUUAAUAGAAUCAGAAGAAACAAAUGAGUAUAGAUUCAACGGCCAACUCCAAAUCGUGAAAUCACCGCAGAAAUCGACCUCGAACAGCAGCGGACUUAACAACUUCCCAAAUGAAUUUCAU